UACAGAGGUCCCGAGCGUUGUUCGGAUUCAUUGGGCGUAAAGGGUGCGUAGGCGGCGGGGCAAGUCUGAUGUGAAAUCCUGGGGCUCAACCCUGGAACUGCAUUGGAUACUGCCUUGCUAGAGAACUGGAGAGGAGACUGGAAUUUACGGUGUAGCAGUGAAAUGCGUAGGGAUCGUAAGGAAGACCAGUGGCGAAGGCGAGUCUCUGGACAGUUACUGACGCUGAGGCACGAAGGCCAGGGGAGCAAACGGGA
rnacentral:rRNA from 1 species